rnacentral:rRNA from 1 species
AUUGAACGCUGGCGGCAUGCUUUACACAUGCAAGUCGAACGGUAACAGGUUAAGCUGACGAGUGGCGAACGGGUGAGUAAUGCAUCGGAACGUGCCCGAUCGUGGGGGAUAACGCAGCGAAAGCUGCGCUAAUACCGCAUACGAUCUGAGGAUGAAAACGGGGGACCGUAAGGCCUCGCGCGAUCGGAGCGGCCGAUGUCAGAUUAGGUAGUUGGUGGGGUAAAGGCCCACCAAGCCGACGAUCUGUAGCUGGUCUGAGAGGACGACCAGCCACACUGGGACUGAGACACGGCCCAGACUCCUACGGGAGGCAGCAGUGGGGAAUUUUGGACAAUGGGCGAAAGCCUGAUCCAGCAAUGCCGCGUGCAGGAAGAAGGCCUUCGGGUUGUAAACUGCUUUUGUACGGAGCGAAAAGGUCCUUUCUAAUACAAGGGGCUCAUGACGGUACCGUAAGAAUAAGCACCGGCUAACUACGUGCCAGCCGCCGCAGUAACAC